rnacentral:tRNA from 1 species
GGUGGCUCAGUAGUAGAGUGCUUGCCUUGCAUGCAUGAGAUUUUGGGUUCGAUUCCUCAGCACCA